GAAGGGGGCUAGCGUUGCUCGGAAUUACUGGGCGUAAAGGGAGCGUAGGCGGACUGUUAAGUUAGAGGUGAAAGCCCAGGGCUCAACCUUGGAAUUGCCUUUGAUACUGGCAGUCUUGAGUACGGAAGAGGUAUGUGGAACUCCGAGUGUAGAGGUGAAAUUCGUAGAUAUUCGGAAGAACACCACUGGCGAAGGCGACAUACUGGUCCGUUACUGACGCUGAGGCUCGAAAGCGUGGGGAGCAAACAGGAUUAGAUACCCUGGUAGUCCACGCCGUAAACGAUGAGUGCUAGUUGUCGGCAUGCAUGCAUGUCGGUGACGCAGCUAACGCAUUAAGCACUCCGCCUGGGGAGUACGGUCGCAAGAUUA
rnacentral:rRNA from 1 species